UGAGAGAACUCGGGUGAAGGAACUAGGCAAAAUGGCACCGUAACUUCGGGAGAAGGUGCGCCGCUGACGGUGAAGGGCUUGCCCCGUAAGCUGUUGGCGGUCGAAGAUACCAGGUGGCUGCGACUGUUUAGCAAAAACACAGCACUGUGCAAACACGAAAGUGGACGUAUACGGUGUGACGCCUGCCCGGUGCCGGAAGGUUAAUUG
rnacentral:rRNA from 1 species